rnacentral:rRNA from 1 species
GAUGAACGCUGGCGGCGUGCCUAAUACAUGCAAGUCGAGCGAACGGACGAGAAGCUUGCUUCUCUGAUGUUAGCGGCGGACGGGUGAGUAAAACGUGGAUAACCUACCUAUAAGACUGGGAUAACUUCGGGAAACCGGAGCUAAUACCGGAUAAUAUUUUGAACCGCAUGGUUCAAAAGUAAAAGACGGUCUUGCUGUCACUUAUAGAUGGAUCCGCGCUGCAUUAGCUAGUUGGUAAGGUAACGGCUUACCAAGGCAACGAUGCAUAGCCGACCUGAGAGGGUGAUCGGCCACACUGGAACUGAGACACGGUCCAGACUCCUACGGGAGGCAGCAGUAGGGAAUCUUCCGCAAUGGGCGAAAGCCUGACGGAGCAACGCCGCGUGAGUGAUGAAGGUCUUCGGAUCGUAAAACUCUGUUAUUAGGGAAGAACAUAUGUGUAAGUAACUGUGCACAUCUUGACGGUACCUAAUCAGAAAGCCACGGCUAACUACGUG